rnacentral:sRNA from 2 species
CGUCUGGAACCACCCGCCGCGCUUCCUCGCGGGAUGCGGCAAGCAUCUCGCUCUCCGCGGUCGUGGUGUCAUCCUCAAUGCCGUUUUCAGCGAGCUGGAGGAAGGCAGCUGGAGUUAGAGUGGCGGCCAAUAGGAAAUAUUUUGUCUUGGGCCAGGUAUGUGGGCGGCGAGGGGAGUGGUAGCUCCGCCAUGGAAAGUAAUUGUGGUGAAGGGAUUUCCGGCCAUGGUGUUGACGACAUAACUGGCGUAUGAGGUGCGGGUGACCAGCGGAAGAGGGAGGAGGGAUUCCACCUAGCAGAGAGCGACAUAGUUGAGAUGUGGGUUUCGGACAGAGACGGCCCAGCCAAAGGGCCGUUCUCAUAUUAUCGCGAGUUAAGGCGGCUUCGUUUAGUGAUUGUCAUUAGUUCGUCCUGCCAAAUACCUUGUUAUGCUGUCAGUUGUUGCUGCUAUUAGUGUACUGCGAGUGUUGUUCGUGAUUCUGUCCAGCACUCUCAGCAUUGGAUAGAGGUUGGUAGUUGGUUUGGCUCGACGUCAUUAGUUUUCCCGAUACGAAGCUAAAUAUAUGGAUUCUGGCCUGGAAAGAAAAAGAGAAAAAAAAAAAAAAAAUUUACAGCGAAUUACACACCCAGCACAGCCAAAUAUCCGAUAAUUUCACAGCACUCAUAGCUAAUCCCGAUGGUCAAGAACAGUCAAAGUCGGAGGAGCUCCUCUAUGCACGUAGCUACCCUGCAUGGAUGCUUACAGCAGCAGUUACUCUUCGCUCGUCACACUCCAUGAAAUGUAAGUCCCCGAAGAAGCCAGCAAUUCCGUUGUUCACAUGCUAUCAUACAUUCAAUACUAGUAUACACAAACGCACAUGUAAAAUAUACAACAUCUCGUCCACAAGCCGAAUAGUAGACAAGAAACACCAAA